rnacentral:rRNA from 1 species
GAACUAGCUUGCUAGUUGCUGACGAGUGGCGGACGGGUGAGUAACGCGUAGGAAUCUACCGAGUAGUGGGGGACAACAGUUGGAAACGACUGCUAAUACCGCAUAAUCCCUGAGGGGGAAAGGAGGGGAUCUGUUUACAGACCUUUCGCUAUUUGAUGAGCCUGCGUGAGAUUAGCUAGUUGGUGAGGUAAUGGCUCACCAAGGCGACGAUCUCUAGCUGGUCUGAGAGGAUGAUCAGCCACACUGGAACUGAGACACGGUCCAGACUCCUACGGGAGGCAGCAGUGGGGAAUAUUGCACAAUGGGGGAAACCCUGAUGCAGCCAUGCCGCGUGUGUGAAGAAGGCCUUCGGGUUGUAAAGCACUUUCAGCGAGGAGGAAAGGAGUAUGUUUAAUAAACGUGCUCUGUGACGUUACUCGCAGAAGAAGCACCGGCUAACUCCGUGCCA